rnacentral:rRNA from 1 species
GAUGAACGCUGGCGGCGUGCCUAAUACAUGCAAGUCGAGCGAACGGACGAGAAGCUUGCUUCUCUGAUGUUAGCGGCGGACGGGUGAGUAACACGUGGAUAACCUACCUAUAAGACUGGGAUAACUUCGGGAAACCGGAGCUAAUACCGGAUAAUAUUUUGAACCGCAUGGUUCAAAAGUGAAAGACGGUCUUGCUGUCACUUAUAGAUGGAUCCGCGCUGCAUUAGCUAGUUGGUAAGGUAACGGCUUACCAAGGCAACGAUGCAUAGCCGACCUGAGAGGGUGAUCGGCCACACUGGAACUGAGACACGGUCCGAACUCCUACGGGAGGCAGCAGUAGGGAAUCUUCCGCAAUGGGCGAAAGCCUGACGGAGCAACGCCGCGUGAGUGAUGAAGGUCUUCGGAUCGUAAAACUCUGUUAUUAGGGAAGAACAUAUGUGUAAGUAACUGUGCACAUCUUGACGGUACCUAAUCAGAAAGCCACGGCUAACUACGU